rnacentral:tRNA from 1 species
UUUACUUUGGUGUAUAGAGCACAUAAAUUUUUGGUGUUUAAGGUAGGAUAGGUGAUC